rnacentral:rRNA from 1 species
GACGAACGCUGGCGGCGUGCCUAAUACACGCAAGUAGAACGCUGAAGAGAGGAGCUUGCUCUUCUUGGAUGAGUUGCGAACGGGUGAGUAACGCGUAGGUAACCUGCCUUGUAGCGGGGGAUAACUAUUGGAAACGAUAGCUAAUACCGCAUAACAAUGGAUGACACAUGUCAUUUAUUUGAAAGGGGCAAUUGCUCCACUACAAGAUGGACCUGCGUUGUAUUAGCUAGUAGGUGAGGUAACGGCUCACCUAGGCGACGAUACAUAGCCGACCUGAGAGGGUGAUCGGCCACACUGGGACUGAGACACGGCCCAGACUCCUACGGGAGGCAGCAGUAGGGAAUCUUCGGCAAUGGGGGCAACCCUGACCGAGCAACGCCGCGUGAGUGAAGAAGGUUUUCGGAUCGUAAAGCUCUGUUGUAAGUCAAGAACGAGUGUGAGAGUGGAAAGUUCACACUGUGACGGUAGCUUACCAGAAAGGGACGGCUAACUACGUGCCAGCAGCCGCGGUAAUACGUAGGUCCCGAGCGUUGUCCGGAUUUAUUGGGCGUAAAGCGAGCGCAGGCGGUUUGAUAGGUCUGAAGUUAAAGGCUGUGGCUCAACCAUAGUUUGCUUUGGAAACUGUCAAACUUGAGUGCAGAAGGGGAGAGUGGAAUUCCAUGUGUAGCGGUGAAAUGCGUAGAUAUAUGGAGGAACACCGGUGGCGAAAGCGGCUCUCUGGUCUGUAACUGACGCUGAGGCUCGAAAGCGUGGGGAGCGAACAGGAUUAGAUACCCUGGUAGUCCACGCCGUAAACGAUGAGUGCUAGGUGUUGGAUCCUUUCCGGGAUUCAGUGCCGCAGCUAACGCAUUAAGCACUCCGCCUGGGGAGUACGACCGCAAGGUUGAAACUCAAAGGAAUUGACGGGGGCCCGCACAAGCGGUGGAGCAUGUGGUUUAAUUCGAAGCAACGCGAAGAACCUUACCAGGUCUUGACAUCCCGAUGCUAUUUCUAGAGAUAGAAAGUUACUUCGGUACAUCGGUGACAGGUGGUGCAUGGUUGUCGUCAGCUCGUGUCGUGAGAUGUUGGGUUAAGUCCCGCAACGAGCGCAACCCCUAUUGUUAGUUGCCAUCAUUCAGUUGGGCACUCUAGCGAGACUGCCGGUAAUAAACCGGAGGAAGGUGGGGAUGACGUCAAAUCAUCAUGCCCCUUAUGACCUGGGCUACACACGUGCUACAAUGGUUGGUACAACGAGUUGCAAGUCGGUGACGGCAAGCUAAUCUCUUAAAGCCAAUCUCAGUUCGGAUUGUAGGCUGCAACUCGCCUACAUGAGGUCGGAAUCGCUAGUAAUCGCGGAUCAGCACGCCGCGGUGAAUACGUUCCCGGGCCU